UACCGGGGCUAAACAUAUUACCGAAGCUGUGGAUUAUCCGUAAGGAUAAUGGUAGGAGAGCGUUCUAAACGUGUCGAAGCAUGAUCGUAAGGACAUGUGGAAUGUUUAGAAGUGAGAAUGCCGGUGUGAGUAGCGAAAGAUGGGUGAGAAUCCCAUCCACCGAUUGACUAAGGUUUCCAGAGGAAGGCUCGUCCGCUCUGGGUUAGUCGGGACCUAAGCCGAGGCCGAUAGGCGUAGGCGAUGGAUAACAGGUAGAUAUUCCUGUACCACCUAUGAUUGUUUGAACGAUGGGGGGACGCAGUAGGAUAGGCGAAGCGUGCUGUUGGAGUGCACGUCCAAGCAAUAAGACUGAGUGUUAGGCAAAUCCGGCACUCGUAAGGUUGAGUUGUGAUGGGGAGUUGGAUCAUGUAUCCGACGAGUCGUUGAUUUCACACUGCCAAGAAAAGCCUCUAGUUAGAAAAUAGGUGCCCGUACCGCAAACCGACACAGGUAGUCAAGAUGAGAAUUCUAAGGUGAGCGAGCGAACUCUCGUUAAGGAACUCGGCAAAAUGACCCCGUAACUUCGGGAGAAGGGGUGCUUUUUAGGGUGCAAGCCUUGAAGAGCCGCAGUGAAUAGGCCCAAGCGACUGUUUAUCAAAAACACAGGUCUCUGCUAAACCGUAAGGUGAUGUAUAGGGGCUGACGCCUGCCCGGUGCUGGAAGGUUAAGAGGAGUGGUUAGCUUCUGCGAAGCUACGA
rnacentral:ncRNA from 1 species